AACGAACGCUGGCGGCAUGCCUAACACAUGCAAGUCGAACGAGACCUUCGGGUCUAGUGGCGCACGGGUGCGUAACGCGUGGGAACCUGCCCUUAGGUUCGGAAUAACUCCCCGAAAGGUGUGCUAAUACCGGAUAAUGUCUUCGGACCAAAGAUUUAUCGCCUUUGGAUGGGCCCGCGUUGGAUUAGCUAGUUGGUAGGGUAAAAGCCUACCAAGGAGACGAUCCAUAGCUGGUCUGAGAGGAUGAUCAGCCACACUGGGACUGAGACACGGCCCAGACUCCUACGGGAGGCAGCAGUGGGGAAUAUUGGACAAUGGGCGAAAGCCUGAUACAGCAAUGCCGCGUGAGUGAUGAAGGCCUUAGGGUUGUAAAGCUCUUUUACCCGGGAUGAUAAUGACAGUACCGGGAGAAUAAGCUCCGGCUAACUCCGUG
rnacentral:rRNA from 1 species